rnacentral:rRNA from 1 species
UACGUAGGUGGCAAGCGUUGUCCGGAUUUACUGGGCGUAAAGAGCGCGCAGGCGGUCAUUCAGGUCGAGUGUGAAAGCCCCCGGCUCAACUGGGGAGGGUCACUCGAUACUGUUUGACUCGAAGGCGGGAGAGGGAAGUGGAAUUCCCGGUGUAGUGGUGAAAUGCGUAGAUAUCUGGAGGAACACCGGUGGCGAAGGCGACAUCCUGGACCGGUAUUGACGCUGAGGCGCGAAAGCCAGGGGAGCAAACGGG